rnacentral:lncRNA from 1 species
GGUCGAGACUGGCAGCUGAGAGAUACCAAAAGGAAGAAAAAAGAAAACCAUUGCUCUUGAUAUUGCUAAUGCCGGGGGAGUCCGAGGGAGUGAGGACCCCGGGUCCAAGAGCUCAAUCCCGGCCCCGCCCCGUCGGCCCAGGCCCCGGGGCUGGGAGGAGAGGAUGCCUUCGGAGGCGCAGAAUCCGAAAAGAUGUGGUUGGAGCUGGAAGCUGUUAUCCUCAGCAAACUAAUGCAGGAGGAGAAAACCAAAUACUGCAAGUUCUCACUUAUAAGUGGGAACUGAAUGAUGAGAACAUUUGGACAUGAAGCUGGGCAGAGAAAUCGAGCUGCAAAAUGACCUACAGAUAUUACAGUUUUAUUCUUGGAAAAUGGAGGUUGUCUAUUAGUGUGAUGGUAACAACCAACUAAUAAAAUUUGGAGACUAGACUGCUUGUCAUGUCUGGGGUUCACUGGAAAUCAAUGAUUCACUGGAACAAUUCUCCUGUCAAAAAAAAUGUGAGGUUUGUAACUUGCCCUAAGUAUAACAAGGGAUAUAUUUUAACAAAGGAUGUAUUUUUUCUUAAGAAGCAACCAUUUCUCAGCUUAUACAUAAUAGCAAUAAUAAAGUCUUUGACCCUAUUAAUGAUUUUCUUAUUUAAUCUUGAUUUUUACAGUUCAUCACUGCAUUUCAUUAUGGGAAGAUUUAAAUAUUAAAUAGAAACUAGCUAGCUUAAUAAAAUCUGAACACAGUUAAUGUCUGUCAUAAUGCUCAUUUUAAUACAUUUCUAUCCUUCAUUCUGUUGAUAUUAUGUAUCAUAUUGAUUGAUUUGCACACAAUUCACCAUCAUUGCAUCCCAGGGAUUGCACUUGGUCAUGAUGAAGGAUCUUUCUAAUGUAUUGUUGAAUUUGGUUUGCUCAUAGUUUGUUGAGGAUUUUUGCAUCAAUAUUCAUUAGAGAUAUUGGCCUGUAAUUUUUUUAUAUGUCUUUGUCUGCUUUUGGAAUCAGGGCAAUACUAGCCUUGUGGAAUGAAUUUUAAAGUAUUCCCUUUUCACCUAUUUUUUCUGAAUAAUUUGAGUAGGAUUGGUGUUAGAUCUUCUUUAAAUGUUUGGUGGAAUUCACCAGUGAAGCCACUGGGUCCCAGGAUUUUCUUUACUGGGAGACUUUUUAAUACAGCUUCCAUCUCAUGACUUAUUAUUCAUCUGUUUGUGUUUUGGAUUUUGUAUUAGUCUGUUUUCAGGCUGCUAAUAAAGACAUACCCAAGACUGGAUAACUUA